GGGCGGAUGGCGAAAUCGGUAUACGCACUAGGCUGAGGACCUAGCCCCGUUUCGGGGGUGAGGGUUCGAGUCCCUCUCCGCCCA
rnacentral:tRNA from 1 species